CACGUAGGGGGCAAGCGUUGUCCGGAUUCAUUGGGCGUAAAGAGCUCGUAGGCGGUUCGAUAAGUCGGGUGUGAAACCUCCAGGCUCAACCUGGAGACGCCACCCGAUACUGUCGUGACUAGAGUCCAGUAGGGGAAAGUGGAAUUCCUGGUGUAGCGGUGAAAUGCGUAGAUAUCAGGAGGAACACCGGUGGUGUAGACGGCUUUCUGGACCGUAACUGACGCUGAGACACGAAAGCGUGGGUAGCAAACAGG
rnacentral:rRNA from 1 species